rnacentral:rRNA from 2 species
UGGGGGAUAUUGCACAAUGGGCGAAAGCCUGAUGCAGCGAUGCCGCGUGGAGGAAGAAGGUCUUCGGAUUGUAAACUCCUGUCUUUAGGGACGAUAAUGACGGUACCUAAGGAGGAAGCUCCGGCUUACUACGUGCCAGCAGCCGCGGUAAUACGUAGGGAGCGAGCGUUGUCCGGAAUUACUGGGUGUAAAGGGAGCGUAGGCGGGGCGGCCAGUCAGGUGUGAAAUUUAUGGGCUUUACCCAUAACCUGCAUUUGAAACUGUCGCUCUUGAGUGAAGAAGAGGUUGGCGGAAUUCCUAGUGUAGCGGUGAAAUGCGUAGAUAUUAGGAGGAACACCAGUGGCGAAGGCGGCCAACUGGGCUUUUACUGACGCUGAGGCUCGAAAGCGUGGGGAGCGAACAGG